CAUAAGUUAUUGGAAGAAAGCAAAAUGCUUUGGCUAUUCAAAUUAGUUCGAAACUAGAAAGGAAUUUUUCCAUAUGUUAAGGGGAAUAUAAGGGUUAACUAGAAACCAAACAAUUUCUUGGUUGCUACAUACAAGAACGUAGAAACAAAUCUUAAAAGCUUGGUUAUGGUAUUUGCGCAGCCACGAAUGUAAAGCUACGUGAAAGGAACAAAUAAUUUGUUUGGCAUCCGGAAAGGAGAGAACGCAGCAGCAAAUCCAUGUUGUUCCAGGUCAUAUAACGCCACGUUGAGGAACUAAAUAGCUUUAUUACUAGGGUCAAGGGUUCAGUUUCAAGAAAACCUAUCAAGUUACCUAACUGACGAAGAAUGUAGAUUUUCAUGUGCCAAGAAUGAAUUGUUUGACCAUCCUUUGGCUUUGUUGGAGCAUAUGUUUGGAAUGAAAGGAAAUAUUGAGAUUGAUCGAAGAAAGUGGUACAGAUGGCUCGAGGCGGCGAGUUUGGAAUUUCGACACGAGUACUAGACAACAGUUGAAGGGCGAGGAUUUCGUUAGUCAGACGCACAAGUUGAUAGUUUCUGGUGAGCCCGGCAUUUGUUCGCGUGGGCGGAGAUUUAUUUAUUAUUAUGGUCUUUUCUUUGAACUCUUAGAGUCGCUCCAUAGUCAAAUUUUUAGUGUCUUGAGUAUUCUUCGUUAUUAUAGAUUUUUGUUGAGUAUCGCUCAUUCUUAUCAAAUUUGGAGAUAAAAUAGUAUUUCUAGUUGUUGGUGGGUGGACUAUUAAAGGUAGAUAUUUAAAUGAUUAAUUGAUAAGGUCAUUGUCAUUUGAA